rnacentral:rRNA from 1 species
UACGUAGGGUGCAAGCGUUGUCCGGAAUUAUUGGGCGUAAAGAGCUCGUAGGCGGUCUGUCGCGUCGGCUGUGAAAUCCCGGAGCUCAACUCCGGGUCUGCAGUCGAUACGGGCAGACUGGAGUUCGGCAGGGGAGACUGGAAUUCCUGGUGUAGCGGUGAAAUGCGCAGAUAUCAGGAGGAACACCGGUGGCGAAGGCGGGUCUCUGGGCCGUAACUGACGCUGAGGAGCGAAAGCGUGGGGAGCGAACAGG